GAGUUUGAUCCUGGCUCAGAACGAACGCUGGCGGCAGGCCUAACACAUGCAAGUCGAGCGCGCCUUUCGGGGUGAGCGGCGGACGGGUUAGUAACGCGUGGGAAUAUGCCCUUUGGUACGGAAUAGCCUCUGGAAACGGAGAGUAAUACCGUAUGAGCCCUUCGGGGGAAAGAUUUAUCGCCAAAGGAUUAGCCCGCGUUAGAUUAGGUAGUUGGUGGGGUAAUGGCCUACCAAGCCUACGAUCUAUAGCUGGUUUUAGAGGAUGAUCAGCAACACUGGGACUGAGACACGGCCCAGACUCCUACGGGAGGCAGCAGUGGGGAAUCUUGGACAAUGGGGGCAACCCUGAUCCAGCCAUGCCGCGUGAGUGAUGAAGGCCUUAGGGUCGUAAAGCUCUUUCGCCUGUGAAGAUAAUGACGGUAGCAGGUAAAGAAACCCCGGCUAACUCCGUGCCAGCAGCCGCGGUAAUACGGAGGGGGUUAGCAUUGUUCGGAAUUACUGGGCGUAAAGCGCACGUAGGCGGAUCGGAAAGUUGGGGGUGAAAUCCCGGGGCUCAACCCCGGAACUGCCUCCAAAACUAUCGGUCUAGAGUUCGAGAGAGGUGAGUGGAAUUCCGAGUGUAGAGGUGAAAUUCGUAGAUAUUCGGAGGAACACCAGUGGCGAAGGCGGCUCACUGGCUCGAUACUGACGCUGAGGUGCGAAAGUGUGGGGAGCAAACAGGAUUAGAUACCCUGGUAGUC
rnacentral:rRNA from 1 species